rnacentral:rRNA from 1 species
UACGUAGGGCGCAAGCGUUAUCCGGAAUUAUUGGGCGUAAAGAGCUCGUAGGCGGUUUGUCGCGUCUGCCGUGAAAGUCCGGGGCUCAACUCCGGAUCUGCGGUGGGUACGGGCAGACUAGAGUGAUGUAGGGGAGACUGGAAUUCCUGGUGUAGCGGUGAAAUGCAUAGAUACCAUCCAGAACCCCCGAUUGCGAAGCAGCUGCCUAGACUGUAACUGACGCUGAGGCACGAAAGCGUGGGGAGCGAACAGG